rnacentral:tRNA from 1 species
CAAAAUGUAGCUUAACUAAAGCCCUUCGCUUACACCGAAAAAAUAUCUGUGGGACCCGGAUCAUUUUGA